GCAGCAUCACAUCCUCCUGCUGGAGAUGAUCUGCCCUCCGUUGUUUCUUCCUUUCAUCUGUGGCCGCUUUUCCCGGGGGAAGUGUCUGGGCUGCGGCGGCAGCAUCAUGUUACGAAUCAAAUUAUCCGCCCAGCUCCCUCCCUGUGCUGAAGUACUGGGCUCCUCUCAAGACUCCAGGCGUGACGCUGCUGUUUCCAGAAAUCCUCCUCAACAUUUCAGACACUUUUGCUCCUUUUUCUUCUCUGUUUUGCGACGAUACUGCUUCAGACGACAUCAGCAAAGGCGCUGUUAUUUCAAAAAAAGAUGAAGAUGAGAACACCCCUCACUGCUUUCGUUCACGCACGCGCACACGCACAUACCAGGCAGCUGUGGCUGCAGGCUGCGCGGCUGCUGCGUGGCUGGGGGGGGCAGCAGCCGGCCCGCUGAACAGUGUGAACAGUGGAUGUCAGAGCAGAUAAAUGUGUUUGCUGCUUCAACCUAAUGUUGAAGAAUUCCUGACAGAACAAGGCUGAAGGUAGCGUCCAUGUUUGCAGCGCUGAAGGCUGCAGAUGUUCACUCACAGCUGCACACCAGGAUAAUAAACCGCCUGUGUCAGAAAUGAAAAGCAGAGGAAGUUUAAAGCUUGUCUGCUUAAGGUUUUACAACAAAACCAAGAUGUUCAUUGUUUCAUUUACUCUUUUUAACUGUUCUGCCAGAAUUAUGUAACAAGUGUCUAAUUAGAUGCUGAUAAAUACUUAUGAAUGCUUCCUUAAACCUGUCAUUCCAGA